UACGGGGGGGGCAAGCGGUGUUCGGAAUUACUGGGCGUAAAGGGCUCGUAGGCGGCCAACUAAGUCAGACGUGAAAUCCCUCGGCUUAACCGGGGAACUGCGUCUGAUACUGGAUGGCUUGAGGUUGGGAGAGGGAUGCGGAAUUCCAGGUGUAGCGGUGAAAUGCGUAGAUAUCUGGAGGAACACCGGUGGCGAAGGCGGCAUCCUGGACCAAUUCUGACGCUGAGGAGCGAAAGCCAGGGGAGCAAACGGG
rnacentral:rRNA from 1 species